rnacentral:lncRNA from 1 species
AAAGAUUAAAGAGAUUAUAUAAUGAUGAGUUUGAUAGGUUAUACACCCAUUAACAAAUUUAAAAGAAUAUAUUGAAAAACAAGAGAGAACGGUUAAACAUAGGGCAUCACGUAUUUCAAAAAUGGAACGAACAAUGUUAUGAUAAGUAGAAUAAAUUUCUUUUAUAAAUACCACAUUUUAUAAAUAAAAAAUAAUAAAAUAUCCAAACAAUCAAUAUAUUUUACACAUUUUUAUCUUC